AAUAAGAAAUUAAACGUUAAUUUGAAAUUAAUAAGAAUUACAUUUUCUAAUUAAAAUUAUUU
rnacentral:tRNA from 1 species